GAUCGCCCAACCACUUUUCCCCCGAUGAUGGCCAGAUCUUGGCCUGGGCUUUUGCUCCUCCUCCUCAUGCUGCUCCUCCACGUAGCCACGGCCAAGAACGAGAGCGGCUCCGGGGCGAUCCCCGAGUGCCGGGAGAUGGCGUCGAGGAGCGAGUGCCAGCGGAGCUCCAGGCGCUGCCGGUGGUGCCGCAGUGACGCCCUCGACGACAUGUGCUUCGGAUCCGCCGAGGCCUGGCGGCUUCCCCACCAGGAGCAUUAAAAGCUGUGCAUAACAGAAACGUAAGAAAGAGAUACAGAGAUUUCCAUCUUGUGGUGCCAUCUAUAAGUCAAGCUGAUAAAGGCAAGAGGCCAAUGAGUUCAAGGAUGGAAUAGUUGUCUACAUACUGAUGUCUCAGAGGCUUUUUCCCUCUUUUACCUGCCUUAGGGCAGGAUUUGGAGUUGUAAAUUCCAGUCUCUUAAUGAAAGAUGGUUUGGUCUUCUGGCCUAAUCUUUUUCUCAAGAAAAAGCACAUUUUAUUGAAGAAAAGGACACUAAUGUUUGUGAGAGAGAACAUGGCUUGAUCAUUUGCGUAUUAAAAGGUACGGAAGUUUCUGAUAUAAAAGUGAAGUUCUCAUUUUCUUCUUCA